UUUCUCAGUCUUUCUUAAAGAGAGAGAAUAGAAAGGUUAGGAAGAAAGAAGGGCCCCAGAGCAAAAAGGAGUAUGAGUCAGAGCUUUCAGCAGGCCCUGACUGACUGGGGUUUUCAUCUUUGAACACAAAAUGAAUAGAGAAUACUGAACAACCGGAGAAAUCAAGACCUACAUGCAAAAUAGCUGAAGAGGAUGAAUUUGGUAUGCGUGAUGGCAUCAUUUUUAAAGCUGUGAAAUAAAAUGUGACAAACCUCCAAAGAAACGCAGUCAUCCUUGUUUCAGCACUAAAUACUCUGUGGGAGUUGCAGCACUGAUUAACUUAUAGCCUGUGGAUUUCAAGGGCCCUUUUCUGAGUGUGACAGUGAGAGCUGUUGAUAAUGAGGUUAAACUUCACCAGGUGAUUCAAGAAAGCUGAACUACAGCUCUACCUUCUGCACUGUGAUCUGCCCCAUUCAAGGUCAACGGGAACAGGCGGACCUAGAGGAAAAGCAGCAAGCAUAAGCCUGCUUUUCCUUGCCCUGAUACAGAGCAGGAAAGCAGACUUUGCCCUCUUUGUUACAGUUUUUUUGACGCUGGCAUUGCUUAGGCAAGGAAGGUACAUAGAAAUCUCUUGUUGUUUAUUGGCAACCUGCGAACCUUUAUUGAUGGUUUUUGCUGAUGUGGACUCUGUGUGCAGAGAGCUCCGUAUCUUUCCAGGGCCACGGUGAAGCCAGGAAGCUCUGCACAAGAGGGGAAGUGCCCUGUGCUGAGAUCUCUGUUAUCACAGGGUCCGAGACACUGCAAGGAGUAGGGAUUAUUGGCUGCACGAGGGACACUGCAUUCAAACAUAUUUUGGCAAUAUGACAAAGCCUUGAAAAAACUGGUGCCAACUGUAAAGAGGUAACUGCUAAGAAGAAAAGAAUGGGGUGACUUCUAUGUGUUACCCAGCACAGCUCCAAAACCAGCCCAUCUAGAGACAAAUGUGCAUUUUUGGAGAAAGCUGUAGGUAAUCCAAAUCAUACACUCAGCUGUGCACUCCCACUCUGCUCUCAAAUUCCUUUCUGAAGCCAUGAGCAUGCAAGGAACUUAAAUACACUGUGGAGGAAUAAAUGCUGCAAUCAUUUAGAAGGGGGAAGAAAACCCACGGAGCAUGCUGAGCUGCUGUUCUCCAGCUCCUAUGUGUUCAUUUUUUCUCUGAAGCUGUUGCAUUGGCUUCCUCUGUUUUCUUCCUUUCCUUUCCCUGCCUGUCAAAGGAUGAAAUGAGCCCUGGUGAAGAGAAAAGUCUAUCUUUUAAGGCUCGGUUUUUGGUCUGAAGUGAGUUGUCAUUUCUGCUUAGUCUUUGUGGCAACCCUCUCUUCAGUUAAUUUCAUUCAUUAAAAAAAAUACAAUUUCAUUUCUGCUUAUUGAGUUUGUGUAAUGUUCGGUCUCAACUACUAUUUAGCUCAACAAAGAUAAGUUUUGUUUCCCAUGAUCACUGAUUAAGUGUUUGUGGAUACAUCAUCUUUUAUUUCCCUUGAGCUUCAUUUUAGCCCACCUGUACUGGAUGUGUGAUGUUUCCAUUUCCCUUGCUAAGCUCUUGCAGUCUUUCUGCCAAGCACAGUGAUGUAUGCAUAUGACAGAGCAGAAUGGAGCUGCCAAGCACAGUACUGUGGCAAAAAAAAUCCAACCCAAUUCCCUGCCUUUCUCUUAACCAGUAGGAGGCCUUUUAAACAGAUCUUUAAGUAUUUUUUCCUUGUUUUUUUUUUAUCUUUAAGUAACUCUUGUAGGUGGCAAAGGAAGUCCUUGUUUCUAUGAGGAUCAGUUUUGAGAGAGGAUGAAAAUCCCCACGGGCUCAGGGGCUGUCCUCCAUCUAUGGGCCUAGCACCUUGUUCUCAAAUGUGCAUGACGCACAAAGACCCAAAUACGAUUUGAGCUUCUUCCUUGUUGUCCAGCCCAGAUGCUACUUCCUGACAGCUCGAGGUUAAAAAGUGGAAUGCAGUUUGUAGCCAAGACAAGUACAGCCAAGUAGAGAAAAAUCAAAGGUCUUCUGUGCAGGAAAUGUGAAAUGCUGCGUGUUUCCUUUCCUAAUUAUAAAUAAUGAUUUCUGUGACCCCAGGUGCAUGAUCUCUUCUGAGUUAUAUAAAUAACACUUCUCAGCAGAAGCGAGGAAAUGCUUGCUUUCAGGGUGUGGGCAGGCCUCCAACACUGGCAGGAGGAGCAUCGCAGUAAUGUGGAUGAAAGCCAGCUUUCAGAAUUGGUGUGAGAAGCCCCUCAACCUGCAGGAGCUCGGGUUCUUCUGAAGCAGGUUUUGAGGCCACAGCUGGAAUACUGUGCUCAGUUCUGGGCUCCUCAGUUCAAGAAAGACAGGGAACUUACAGAGAGUGAGUCCAGGAGAAAGCCACAGAGAUGAUGAGGGGCCUGAAGCACCUCCCUUAUGAGGAAAGACUGAGAGCCCUGGGGCUGUUCAGCCUGGAGAAAUACGCAAGAGGGGGGUCUUAUCAAUGCCUAUAAAUACCUAAAGGAUGGGAGUCAAGUGGAUGGGGCCAGGCUCUUUUCAGCAGUGUGCAGCAACAAAACAAGAGGCACUUUGCACAAACUGGAACGUGGAAAGCUCUAUCUGAACAUGAGGAAAAACUUAUUUACCAUGAGGGUGACGGAGCACUGGAACAGGCUGCACAUAGAAACUGUGGAGUCUCCUUCUCUGGAGCUCCUCAGAACGUAGCUCUCAGCAAUCCUUAGUAACAUGCUCAGUGGUGGCGUGAAAGCAUUUGUUUCUAGAAGAGAUCCUGGUAACCAAUGAGGCUGAGGAGUGGUGCCUGACCUUUGGGCGCUGGUGCUCAGCCUGGCUGGCUGCCUGGCCGGGGGAGGAAGGGAAAGUUCUUCCCUGUAAACGCCAAUUUCAUGUCAGUGCCUUCUGUUAGCAUUUAGUUUGUUUGGCUAGAAACACGCAGCUCCAAAGCUCCUUUUGGCUCCUUUUCCCUACGCCACUCAUAGCUCAGAAUCAACACGUGACUUCCAUUUCACGGAUAAUGCAGCUGCUGCAUUUCCAAGUUUGCCUAACUCCCAGAUUUCCCCUUGUUUAACCUUGGGACUGCCUUGGGAUUUUCCUCAAGGCUGCCAAAGUCAGCUUCUCUUCCUCCUCUUCAGAACUUCCUCAAGCUCCACUGCUUAGGGACACAACCUCUCACUGGAUGCAACCCACAUGCUGCAGCUGUGCUUCCUGAGGGCCGCAGAGGGAGGAGCGCAGUGCUGGUAGGCGUCUGGGAGCGCCGGGGCUCUCACAGCUCAUUCAGGAUCCGUCCCGCUCAUCCUCCUCGGGUGCUGUGUCUGAUCAUUUUUCAUGGCAGGAGGGUCAACUGACACCUGUUCAAAUCUAGGUUUUAGGUUGCCGUUUGCUACAUGACCUGGUUCCUCCUGUGACUUUGGAGUAAUGUAUGCAACCUGAGCUUGACUUUUUUUCUAAAACCGCUCUGAUGAUACAAAGACCCUUCAGCCCGUGUUACUGCUAAUGUAGUUCCUUAUCAGCACGAACAACAGCAGAUACACAGGUAUCUUUGGUUUCCACCACACCACACGCCAAAACAAAAAUGAAAACCUACUGGCAGCCAGCAAGGCAAGCUUAAAACAUGAAGUGCAGAAAGGGGAGCAAAGCAGUCACAACUUUUGAAGGAAGGAGAUGUGAAUUGAACACACAAAAUGAAUGAGAGGCUGAAAUCUAAAUCUGCCGUGGCAGCUGCCCACUUUGAACUGCAUUUUUUCAUGGUGCGCUGCUCCAUUACACAGUAGGUUAAAUAACCACAAUAUAAGGUCAAUGGCCCAUCCAGGCAUGUGCUGAUUUCACACUCUACCGUUAUUAAUAGCCAAGAUUUAAUGGAAAUUACUCUUGUUGAUAUCUAGUCCCCCAAACAACCUUUAGAUCAUUUUGAUCUGCCUUGUUAGAAGAUGAUGAUCAUUGUUUCUGGUGAUUUUUUUUUGUUGUUGGAAAUGAGUCUCAUCUUUAAACACUAAGAGAUGAGUGCUGCUAUUUCUGUUGGUGUUCCUCUCUUUCAUGUUUUCUGGUGUUUGACAAGGUCUGCACAAGUAGAUGUGCAGGAAGGGGUAAGGAAUAGAUCCAUGAAUGGGUUGAACUCAGUGCUGGGUUAUAAAUGAAAAGGAAGAUUGAAGGAAGACAUUCGAGUAUUGUGUUUAGAAGCAUGUAAGUAGUAGGCCAGUGUGCCUGUCAGAAUCUGAGUGACAGAACUGUGUAUUCUGAUGAAUCUGCAUUUCAAAUUUGGACUCCCACCGACACUGCUCUGUAACCCAUGAAGUUUCUGUGGAGAGGGAGAACUCAGCCAUGUGCAGCUCUUGCUUAAGUGGAGGCCGGGGUCUGGCUUGGAUUUUGAUGGCAUAAGUUAUGCCUGCCUUUCAGAUAAAUCACAUCUCUCCAAGUACAGCAGCGCUGGAAAAAGAGCCCUUGGAUGACCCACUUGGAGUCUGAGACAUCAGAAGUGCUACUUCAGAAAAGAAAGCAGAGGAAGGCACCAGAAGCCAUGCAGAAGAGACACAUCUGGACUGUGUAUGGCAGAUUGCAGCAGAGCCCAGGGAAGGCAAUUAAAGACCCAGAUGAAGACCAGAACAUCAGACGUCCGUCUGGAGUCCAUGUGCCUGAAUUGCUGUUCCUCCCCACCCUAAUAUAAACAGUGAGGCUUGAAGACUCAAGCUGCAUGAGGGCAGGCAGGAGCUGCUCUCUUCUCACUGACCAUUUUGCUGUGACACGAGAAUGAACAUCAUGUAACCAGCGACCUACAGCCACAGCUCUGUCCUCCACAGCAUCCCCACCUUGUGCAGUGGCCAUGGCGCAGCAAAGCUGGGCAAACCAAGAGGGGCAGGGUCCAGCUGCAGGGAGAUGCAGUGAGGCAGCACAGAAGUUCACCCACCUUCAAGUGAAAAGGGAAACCGGUGGUGGGAAGGGCAUGAGAGGAGCGAUGGCAUGAUGGGGAUGGGUAUAGCCGCCAAGGCUGGACGAGGGUGGGGAGGAAAGGCAGCUCCUGCAUCACCAGCCCCAGCUCUAGCACCAAACACAAGCAUGAGCUGUCACUGCUGUGGAAUGCAGCAGAUGGCCAAAUUGUUAGAUUCUCCCUUGCAAGAGCAAAAUGAUAUACUGUUUUUUACCAUCCUUGCCUGGAGCUGAGUGCUAGCUUCACAUACUAUGAAGAUAUACUGUACAAAGGUACUUGGUGCCAGAAAUGUGCUCUAGUGAUAAUCAGGAGAAAACUGUGCUUAAAGUGACAUUUAAAAAAUAAUUAUUAUGGCCCAUUGCUGUUAGUCACACAUCCCCAAAGCUGAUCUGGCUAACAGAGCUCUCCAAAGCAUUCUUGCUUGAUAUGUCAUCUGGAAAUUAUGCCAUCACGCUGUCACUGUGUCUUGCCUUGCAAUCACCCGGACACUAUCUAUACGCUCACACACAUCAUUAUUUUUUUUCCUCUUUUAGGGGGAAAGAAAUUCUUUUCCUUUCUCUGUAUCUCACGCUGCUUUGGCUGCUUUCAUACUGCUGCUUGGCUCAGCCAUUUGCUGGAGAGAAGAGGCCUUACUGAAGCAGAGCUGGCUAUGAAGCACCAUGAUCCCACCUCCCCUUGCUUGAGGCCUCAGCCAGCAGCACUGCUCGGCUCUGAGUGCCCUGCAGCAGCUGAAGGCUCUGCAGAACCCAGGUCUGUGUACACAUGCUGCAGAGCUCACCUGCGUCAUACUAAUAUCAGGUGCUUGAAACUCUAUAUUGGAGGCACAGGGCUGUGAGUGGCAAGUCAUUGCAGCAGGUGUGCUUUGCCAGCUCCAGCUCUGAGCUGGUGAUAAGGGAGAGGGGGGAGGCUCUCAAAAGGGACUGAAGCAGGAGAGAAAACUCAGAGUGGCUUGUAAGUCUGCUUAUGGAUCCUUCUCAAUGAAUGCAGAACCCAGGGCAAGGCUCAACACGGUCUGCAAUCAAGUGAAUGGUAGAUCAUUUUCUUGUUGAUGUUUUUUGUGUUCCACUGGAUAUGUUGUUUUAAGGAUUGUUGUCUGCUGAAUAUGUGGUGCGCUCUCUCUUCCUGAUAAUCCUUUAAAAUUUGGACGUGUUUUGUUUUCUUUAUAUGAAAAGGCUUUAGCGGGUCAUCUGUAAGCUUUGUUUCCAAAGGUGUUAGGAUGGCUUAAACCUUCAUUACAUCCUACCUUUCCUUUGCUGCCCAUCUUCAGAACGCUCCUGCCAGUGUCACAGUGGUUUGUGAUGCAGCAGCAUGUCCUCCCUCCUCUCCUUCCACUUUUUUCCAUCAGUUUGCUCAGAAGCUCCUGCUAAGCGCCCCACAGCCAUGACACACUGGCCUACCAGCAUCUCAUCUCCAGUGAAACCUCCAGAUCUCCCCUCUGAGGACCCCAUUAACGUCAUCUCUGAACUUGCUCCUUUGUUUCUCAGUCCUUCCUCCUUUUGCUUAUUUUGUCUUGUUCUUGGAUGGUUCAACUCUGCUUCCUUCUUCCAGGAGCUUGUCUGGCUCCUGGGUCCAUUUCCUAUCUUCCAUUAGCCAAACAUUCCCUCUCUCAUUCUGUCCAAUCUAACCCAAAUCCCCAUCUUCUUUCCUGGUGAAACUAAACUUUCCCCAGCCAGACAACAAGGGGAUUCUUUUCUGUGCUGAUGUGAAGGCACACGUAGGCUAGGAAAACACAUUAAAACACACAUUUCUGAACUUACACUUAAAGCUGUUCAAGGAAUAUAUGCAAGCUGCAGGCUAUUAGAACAGGUAUGGGGUCUAGCUUUCUCCACUGCCUUGCACUCUCAUGUCAUCGCUGUUUAUGUUCAAGUUGCUUUUAGCAUCUUUACGUUCCUGCACAUGACAAACAAUAGGGAACAGCUCCCAUACAGCACAGGAAAUAUAGCAGCAAGUGUCUCACAUCCAUUUUUCAUCUGUCAUCAAAUAGCUUUUAUUCAUGGCAUAGCACAAGUGUCAGCCAACUGGCGAAGACAGCCUGUAUUAAAAAUGCUGGGGAUUAUUCAUGUCAUCAGGCACAAGGGAGCUUUUCUCGGUUGGCGGACCUGCAGCAGCAGCACUAUGAAAAUGCAGCAGGUCCUCCAGAGUAAUCUCAAAUCUGAAUAACUUCAGAAAGAGGCCAACAACUGAUCAUCGUUUCCAAGCACAAUUAAAAAGAAAAUCUAGCACAAUUAGAUGAGAGCUUGGGUAUAGAGGCUGAGCUGUGGGUACUCGGGAAAGCUUGUAUAAGAAGCAUGUUAUAUAGAAAGACUAAGGUGAUGUUCUUAUAACAGUGCUCAGAUUGAAGAUGGUCUGCAGGCUGUGAGCUGGUGCUGUCUUCUGGAGUUGGCUCCUGGUUACGUAAUUAUCAGGUAGGCAGGGCCUCAGCCCCUCUGACUGCAGGCCUUGUCUGCUCGCACAUAUUGGGAAUGUGAUCUGCACUGGCCAAGUGAUUUGUCUUUUAUGGACAAGGUAUAAUUUAGAAAUCGAUAAUUCUUUCUCCUUUUUAAUGAUUAUUUUUCUAAAAAGCCCUGUUUCACUGAAAAUAUCUGUUCCUAUAUUUGUGAGACUAUUACCAAGGAGAAACAGAAGAAUGGACACAAACAAUAAAACUGCUUACCUUAA